UCACAGAUUUUGGCAUUUUUUUAAAUUAUUCAUUAAAUGCUUUAUAUUGAUAAAUGUAAACAUUGGAUCAUAAAAGCUCCAGUAAAAAAAUCAAGAAAAAAAUUAAAAAAGGAAAAGAACAUUGCCCGGAGCAGGUUUCGAACCAGUGACCCCUGGGGUCCUGCCAGAGUCCUGAAGUAAAAACGCUUAAGCCUACUGAGCUAUUCCGCCGAGUACACAUUUUUGAUGUAUUUUAUACCUUAUAUAAGCAAUCUUCGUAGUUUCACAAAAUUUAACGACAAAAACAGAACUCUCCAAAUUAUUCAAUUGUUUCGCGUUGCAACGCUUUAUAAUUUUUAGGUUUUAAAAUCGUCAAAAGAUGCAUAUAAUGGCUAUAUUAGAGCAUGGUUAAUGUUCAGUAUUACUGUUUCCUCACAAAUAUCAUAACUAAAACGAAAACUUACGAAUCUGAAACAAAUUUUUUCAAUUUUGUCAAUUUACCAAAGCGUGAAAAGAUCCCUUUAAAUUCUUAUUAUAAUUGUCAUUUGUUAAUUAUAACAUGAUUUUUAUUCAUGUUUCAGGCCAUCAUUUACAUCAUUUAUACUUUAUAGUAUUGAAAGCUUGGAACGUAAAACCCAGGUUGCGUUAUAAACUCACACCCCGGCUUCAAUAAAACCCAGGUUGCGUUAUAAACUCACACCCCGGCUUCAAUAAAACCCAGGUUGCGUUAUAAACUCACACCCCGGCUUCAAUAAAACCCAGGUUGCGUUAUAAACUCACACCCCGGCUUCAAUAAAACCCAGGUUGCGUUAUAAACUCACACCCCGGCUUCAAUAAAACCCAGGUUGCGUUAUAAACUCACACCCCGGCUUCAAUAAAACCCAGGUUGCGUUAUAAACUCACACCCCGGCUUCAAUAAAACCCAGGUUGCGUUAUAAACUCACACCCCGGCUUCAAUAAAACCCAGGUUGCGUUAUAAACUCACACCCCGGCUUCAAUACCAUACAACAAUAUUGCGUAGGUACAACACUGUGUAAUGUGUAAAAUUAAGUAAGCUAACAUUUAAGGCAUUUGUUUAUCGUAAACAUGAACAUCUAAUAUAUGAAGACUAUUUGAGGUAUCCCUGCACUUCAGAUGAAAGUCAUUCCGACAGGUUAAUCAGGGAUGUCCCUUUCCGCUUUAUGGCAUAUUCGUUUUACGGAAGACUCAUUUUAGUGAAAUCCUAUGUAGGCGGAAGGUGUCGUCCCUAAUCAGGCUGUGCGGACUGCGGAGGCUAAUCCGUUAAGACGAAUAUGCAGUAAGCGCCGUUUUCCCAAAGCGAGACUCAUAUUCAUUGCGCAGGUCAGCGAAAUUCCUGGUAUGUUAAAUGUCCACUAGGUAAUCAACCCGAUCGUACUUGCAGAGUGUUGUAGGAAUGUCUGCUCCAUAGACGCAAUGUCUACCGACACAAUGCUAUUUAUUAGAUAUAACACCGCUCUACUGUACAGAGACUUAUUACGCCAAAUUUAAGUUCAAGGUCCGCUAGGGUAUGAACAAGACAUUAUUCACAGAAACGCAAUAAUUUGUUGUUGUUUUUUAUAUUCACGUGACAGUGUUCAUAAUAAAGAAGUGUUCGGACAUAUAAGCAUUGUAUGUAUCUUUAAUACGAGACACACUUUGUGUACACUUGAAUACAUAUUCCAUCGACUCUACGUAACUCAACUGGACAUAGUUUUGAUCAAUAACAUUAGUAAUCUAUGGUAAUUUGACUAUCGCGUUAGUAGCAAAUACUAGGAAGUUUAACAUUAUUUAUGAGGUUAAUCGGAGGGUUUUAGUAAUAACUGAGAUGGACUUACUAUGCUGUUGCAUUCUCUGUAUUUCAUAUAUAAUUAAGGAUAAUAAUCGUUUAGUAUCUAUAUAAAAGAAAGAAUAUAACAAUUUUAGUGCCUUGGGUUAUGAAGUGACUUUGGAUUACAAGGUCUUUAUUGUUAUUACAAAGGUACCCCUACCGCAAGCGUAGCCAGAGAGGAUAGGCAGCUGCUGAUGCACCCCGUCAACCAUGUCCACUGGUGUCGGACUACAAUGGUACUGGGUACUGGGGAUCGUGUUCGCGGUCCUCGCCGCGUCGAGCGUCCUCUGCAUCAUCUGGUGCUGCUUCCGGCCGAAAGCCCCGAAGCCGCUCCCCACCUUGCCUCCCCGGCGGCUGUACUCGCCCUCGUAUAGUAGGCAGUUGUCAAAGUAUUCAUUAGCGUCCCAAAAGUCGGAUAUGGAAAAACCUGACGCCCAAGUACCAUUUAUAGCUAUCGGGCAUUAGCCACACGUGGGACUGUGUUUAUCUUUAUCUAACCUAUUGUUUAAGCGAACUGUACGUCGUCGACUAGUAAACCGCAUAGGUGUAACGGAAGAAAUCAUGUCAUAUUUUCUUGAACUGAUGGUGUAGUCGUGCAAUGUUUCGUAUUUGUUAAGAACGCCACAUUUCACUAUGAAUUGCACUGCUUAAACACGAGUCAAAGUAGUCCGACAUGGAAUGUAAUAAUUAAGACUUGGUCAGGAAAAAAAUACGUUCACCUUCUUGCAAUGCUCAAAACUCAUGGUGGAAAAGUGUUUCGCCAGUUAAUCCUGCAGUUGUUAAAUAUGUGUGGUAAAAGUGAGAACACCUACUAGUAUUUUAAACGCGAGAUCAACGGAUAAACGUUUCUGGCGUGGACGUGUCGGCAUGUCUCAAAUCAUUCCUCGUCUUCGAUUUCCCCGUGCUCAAGAACGCCGGAUGUGUAUAAAAUCACGUGAUUUACAUGAAACAAUCUAUAGUAAAACCACUGUCAUGUCGAUCGGGAAAGCGCGUUACAUGGUGUUUGGGUAAUACUCAAUUUGUAUCAAUUUGCAAGUGUGCCAAAAAUGACAAAAAUCAACAUUAAAUUUGUGUGUAGACAUGCGUUUUGCCACAACGAAGAGAAUCCAAGAAUCAUCCGCUAUUAGUUUCAGCUUUUUCCCAAUGAAUUAUCAUUGGAGUGUAGUUGAGUCCAAGUGACCAAAAGUCGGAUGCAGUUUACUCAGUUUUAAAAUUGCCAAAACUAAAAUGUCCAAGCUAUGUAAAAGCGUCGUAUAAAAUAUUUGUCGUACAUGUAUAUAACAUUUAAUUUACAUAUUUGUACUAAAUAUUCUUACAUAGUGCACGUUUUGGCUAAUAUUUUCUACAUUGAUCACGUGAACAUGUGAUAUUGUCAAGACUUGUACAUGUAACCAGGGUGCAGGUUCAACGGGGUUCACAGAGGUUUACACAAGGACAGAAUGUAAACACACCGUAAACAACUUUAUUUUUGCAAAUAUCUUAAGUUAUUGAGUUACAAUUUGUGCCGAUAUCUUAAGAUUUAAGAAAAUAUCCUUGAAUACGUCUGAAAUCGGUGCCAAAUUUUCACGUUGCGUGCAACAUAACCGUGUGCAUGAAUGCCGAACAUAUCAAAUUGCUGGCUAAGAACACAGGCUUAUUAAGUAAAGUAAUUCUGAUUUACUUCAUAUUGUCAUAAUUAGCAUAAAAACUGUCUUUUAUGCAAUAGUUGAAAUUCUUAGGACCUUUUUUAAAAGUUAUAUGGAAAUAAAACACACCACUUAACGGCGUAUUUAAAUCCAUUAACGUUUAAUUGUGAACCCCAUAAAGUCACGUGAUCCUGCACCCUGGUCACUUCGAGUCAUAGACCGCUGAAAUCGAGUUUAUACAAAAUAGAAUACAAAUAGUUAUCUAUUACAAAAACAUGUGCGCAAAUUAAAAGUAAUCUUUACAGGGCUCGAAAUUAACACUCGCACACUCGCAAAAUGCGAGUUAAAAAAAUCGAUUGCGAGUAAAGUUGUAAGCCACUAGUAUUAUUUUGCGAGUAAAGAAAUAGUAAAAAAAGAGAGUAAUAUUGCUUAAUGCGCUCGACGUCGUGAACGCUUAACCGUAGGUCAAUUUAUAGAACGUCCGAAUACCCGUAUGCUAAAGCGUGCACCUUGUAUGUAGAAUGGUAUACUUAUAGUACAGAUACGCGGAUGGUAUUGGUACACAGAACGUGAAACAGUCGAUUAUUCACACGUGUUCAUUGAACUUGAACAGACAUGGCGUUGAAGCAAAAAAUAACUAGUUUAUUUUUGCCCACUGACGGAAAUAACAAUACGGAAGAUAAAGCAAAGUUAACC